ACUGUAAUGUAGCUACCACCCUGUUUUUGUGGUUGGUAACGGUUACAAGCCCGUAUAGAUACAGAGUACAGU
rnacentral:ribozyme from 2 species